rnacentral:misc_RNA from 1 species
GAUGAAGAACGUAGCGAAAUGCGAUACUUGGUGUGAAUUGCAGAAUCCCGUGAACCAUCGAGUCUUUGAACGCAAGUUGCGCCUCAAGCCAUUAGGUUGAGGGCACGUCUGCCUGGGCGUCACAUAUCGUUGCCUGAUGCCAGUUUCCUCGUGAUGGGUGACUGUGCAGGGCGAAUGAUGGCUUCCCGUGAGCAUUGUUGCCUCAUGGUUGGUUGAAAAUUGAGUCCUUGGUAUGGAGCGCCGUGAUAGAUGGUGGUUGAGUGACGAACGAGACCCAAUCAUGUGAGACCCCUACCGAAUUUGGCCUUCAUGACCCACAUGCGUCUUUGGAACGCUCAUGACGAGACCUCAGGUCAGGCGGGGCUACCCGCUGAGUUUAAGCAUAUCAAUAAGCGGAGGA